AAGUCCCGUAACGAGCGCAACCCUCACCCCAUGUUGCCAGCGGAUCAAGCCGGGAACUCUUGGGGAACUGCCCGGGUAACCGGGAGGAAGGUGAGGACGACGUCAAGUCAGCAUGGCCCUUACGCCCUGGGCUACAAACAUGCUACAAUGGACGGUAGACAGAGGGAUCCGAGACCGCGAGGUGGAGGCAAUCUCAAAAAUCCGUCCCCAGUUCAGAUCGCAGGCUGCAACUCGCCUGCGUGAAGUCGGAAUCGCUAGUAACCGCAGAUCAGCUGAGCUGCGGUGAAUACGUUCCCGGGCCUUGUACACACCGCCCGU
rnacentral:rRNA from 1 species